rnacentral:rRNA from 1 species
UACGGAGGGUGCAAGCGUUGUCCGGAAUCACUGGGCGUAAAGGGCGCGUAGGCGGCUCAUGAAGGCUGUGGUGAAAGUCCGGGGCUCAACCUCGGGAUCGGCCGUGGCGACUCGUGGGGCUGGAGCACUGUAGAGGCGGGUGGAAUUCCGGGGUGUAGCGGUGGAAUGCGUAGAGAUCCGGAAGAACACCAGUGGCGAAGGCGGCCCGCUGGGCAGUGGCUGACGCUGAGGCGGCGACAGCGUGGGGGAGCAAACAGG